CUCUCUCUCUCUCUCUCUCUCCUCCUCACCCGACUCCCCUCUUCUCUAACUCUCGAUUCUCUCUCCUCUUGCUUCCCUCCACUGUCGCCCGCACCGCACCGCGUCACCGUUUCUCUGCCUCCCCUGGGUGUUCGCGCCGCCCGUGAUGCGGUGGUUGUGAUGGUUGUUGCAUUAAUUGUUGAGGUUGGUGGGGUUGUUCCGCCUCCGUGCUCGCCCUUCCUCUGUCUGCCGCCGCCACUAAUGGUGGCCACCAACACAACAUCAUUUGCACUCUGUCACUAAUUGGUAAAUUGAUUUUAAUUUCUCCCUCAAUUGAUUGAAUUAGUUCUUGGUUUAAAAUCUUAAAACCCUAACUUAUUAAAUUUCUCUCUCCUUUUCUUGCGGUGGUACACCGCUGCUGCAAACACUCGUCGGCGCUGCUGCUGUUCCACCCCUGGCAUGUCGUCGUCGUCGCCGCCGCCGCCAGGAUUGUUGGUGUUGCUUGGUGGUGGUCGUUGUUGGUGUCGUUGAUUGUUGCUAGCCGGAGAUGACUAUUAUCCACAUGUAUUAUUGAUUUCAAAGGUUGCUUCGAAUGAGGAUGGUGAUUAUAGAAGUAAAUGUACUAUAAAGUGGGUUUACAAUCGUAAAUUUCUAAUAGUUAAUUUAAUUUAUAAGUUUUAUAUGAUUGUCAAGUUUUAAUUUAGUUAACGCAAAGAGGUUUGUAACGUUAAUUAUCCUUUAUCGAUCUUGAGGUUUGUAGCCUUGCAUUUGCUCUUAGGUAAAUGCGGCGGUGAUACUCCGAUUCGCUGUUAUUGCUUCCGCUUAUGUUUAAGAACACGCAGGUUUAUUGGUGUUGUUGAAUGUAACAGGUUUUUAAAUAUCCCAUUUUUUGGGUUUUGUUCAAUUACAAAGGAAACUCUGCCGAAUUUUAUACUCAAAUUAACGUUUUAUCAUUUUAAACUAAUAUUUUAAUAUGGUCUAGAAUCGGGGUAUUACAAUUUAACUUGCAAGAUAAUCAAUAAACUUACCAUAAUGCUAAGAAUCUAAAAGAUCCCUCAAAAGGUUAGCACUGAUUUUAAAAAAAAAAACCUAAACUCUUUUAAGGUUGAAAUUAGCUAAGUAUGACUCAAGAGAAGACAAGGUGAGCACAUAUAGAACAAAGAUUCAUAGAGUAUACAAAUCACGCAAGGAAAAACAGCAGUCAUAAGAUGCAAAUUGGCAACAAUAUGACAAAUUAAAAUGGACGACUUUCAAUUUAACUUGGUUAGGACAUGUAGGUAGUUUUCCUCACAAUUUAACUUCCAACUUAUUUGUUUUGCCUUCUCUGUCCUGUAAUGGCGAAGAGUUGUUUUAUGUACACAUGUUGGAUCUGAUGGUAUAUCUUUCUUUCCGUCUUAGAUAACCUUCAUGCCAAUCAACACAACCAAGAAUAAUGUUCUUCAAUAUACCUCUUCUUGAUGCUGAAUGAGAUAUGAGAUAAUGCGACUUGUGUAGUUUGUGUUUGUCGAUAUGAUAUUGUGGCAUGUAUGCUAUAUUUCUUCCUUAUAAGCACAAUGUAUGUUCUUUAAAUAAUAAUCUCAAGAUA